GCUUAACGCGAAGAACCUUACCGGGGCUUGACAUGCAUCCCUCAAGCGGUGAAAGCCGUGGAGUGUCGCAAGACACAGUUUGCACAGGUGCUGCGUGGCUGUCGUCAGCUCGUGUCGUGAGAUGUUGGGUUAAGUCCCGCAACGAGCGCAACCCCUAUGAUUAGUUGCCAGCGGGUAAAGCCGGGGACUCUAGUCAGACUGCCCAGAUCAACUGGGAGGAAGGUGGGGAUGACGUCAAGUCAGUAUGGCCCUUACGCCCGGGGCUGCACACGUACUACAAUGUCCAGUACAAUAUGAACCGAGACCGCGAGGUGGAGGAAAUCUGAAAAAGCUGGGCUCAGUUCGGAUUGCGGGCUGCAACUCGCCCGCAUGAAGUCGGAAUCGCUAGUAAUGGCGCAUCAGCAACGGCGCCGUGAAUACGUUCCCGGG
rnacentral:rRNA from 1 species